CAGUCGCCACGGUAAUACAGAGGGUGCGAGCGUUAAUCGGAUUUACUGGGCGUAAAGCGUGCGUAGGCGGCUUUUUAAGUCGGAUGUGAAAUCCCUGAGCUUAACUUAGGAAUUGCAUUCGAUACUGGGAAGCUAGAGUAUGGGAGAGGAUGGUAGAAUUCCAGGUGUAGCGGUGAAAUGCGUAGAGAUCUGGAGGAAUACCGAUGGCGAAGGCAGCCAUCUGGCCUAAUACUGACGCUGAGGUACGAAAGCAUGGGGAGCAAACAGGAUUAGAUACCCCGUAGUCCCUGUCUCUUAUACA
rnacentral:rRNA from 1 species